rnacentral:piRNA from 1 species
UGGGUUGGAACUUUGCCGAGUUGAAAAGCA